rnacentral:lncRNA from 1 species
UCAAGAAUAAAACAAAAACGGAAGAAUAUAAUUUGAACUAAAGUAAAUAAUGAAGGGUAAAACAAAAAUGGAUAAAUAAAAUCAAUGAAAGUGGUGAUCCAAAUUGCUACCAUCAACACUAGAUUAGUCAUUUCUUCCUCUAUAGCAUUUUCAAAAUGUUUAAAAUUAAUUGUGUCCACAAUUUGUCACCCUUAAUUUAUAUUUGAACUACCUAUUUAUAUUUUUCCAUAUUUCCUAACAAAAAUAAAAGCAAAAUUACAAAAAUGAAGUAAUUGUCUAAACUCACCCACAUUGUACCAAGCAUAUGCAUUCUUUUCAUGUUUUGCAGUAAUUAUUGUGAAAAUCUUCUUUCUUGAUCCAUCUUCAGUCUCUUUCUCAACCCAUCUCCCGUCCCUAUCUCGAUUUCCCUUUUCUCGAUGUCUUUCUAUCUCGAAUAUAAUUUUCUUUAUGUCUUAACAACACUUUCUUUCGAUCUCUUUCCUCAAUCCUAUGUCUCUUAAUAUAUUUCUCUUCACCAUUUUACUCCUUUUAACAUCUACAUGUCAACUCACUUAUUUAUUCCUUCGACUAGCUUUAUUUCUCAAUGCCCUCAAUAGAUGACCCCAAAGAGAAUGUUGCUUCAUGAAUUUUCUGAAUAAGUAUUCACUUGAUACUCAAUUUAACUCCUCCAUUCCAAGACUCGCCACAUUCUUUGCCUUGCACAUCUUCCAAUCAAUUACUAAAAAUCUCACUUGUCUCUUCUCGAUCUUCAUAUAAUCAUCAGACUAUUACAUAAGCAAUAUUAUAUCCCUUCUUAAUGGGCUUAGGUCCAUUGGUAUUUCAAUUGUAAUGUCUCUCAAGUUUCAUUUAUUAUCCUUUUUAGUCUUCUUGCUCUUUUACACACUUAAUCCUUACAACCUUGACUUCUUACUCCUUAAUCUUCUUCACAUUCUCCUUCUCCAACAACUUAAAAACUAUACGCUGUUACCAUGGCUUCUUGAUAUGAUCAUAGAUGGGGCAACAAUGAAGAGUUUAUAGAGUAACAAAAAAGCAUAAAAAUAGUAGAAUAAGUUUCAUAGGCUUGUAUUUGUCUCUUUGUUUCUUUUCGUUAGUUCUAGUUGAAUAAACGCUUAUAAACUCUUUUUUUCU